rnacentral:rRNA from 1 species
CAAAAACAUAACUAUAUGACUAACAUGUAUAGCUAUUUCUGCUCAAUGAUAAUUUAAAUAGCCGCAGUACUUUGACUGUGCAAAGGUAGCAUAAUCAAUUGACUUAUAAUUGAAGUCUAGUAUGAAUGAACACAUGGUUAGUGACUGUUUCCUAUAUAUUUUAUAAAAUUACUUAAUAAGUGAAAAUACUUAUUUAUAUAUAAUAGACGAGAAGACCCUAGAAAUUUUAAGAAAUAUUAUUAAUAUUAUUUUUGGUUUUUGUUGGGGCGACAGAGUAGCAUUAAACCUACUUUUAAAAUGUAUAAGUAUAUAUUUUUAUAAAGGAAUUCAAAUUACUCUAGGGAUAACAGCAUAAUAUUUAAAAGUUUGUGACCUCGAUGUUGGAUUAGGGAAGUAUUGCUUAGAAGGCUACUACUAUUGCUCUGUUCGAGCAUAAACCCCUACGUGAUCUGAGUUCAGACCGG